rnacentral:rRNA from 1 species
CCCUUAGAUGUUCUGGGCCGCACGCGUGCUACACUGAGUGGAUCAGCGGGUCAGGUUGCGCGAAAGUGUUUCCUAAUCUUGAAAUCCGCUCGUGAUGGGGAUUGACGGUUGCAAUUUUCCGUCAUGAACGAGGAAUACCUUGUAAGCGCGGGUCAUCAUCCCGCGCUGAAUACGUCCCUGCCCUUUGUACACACCGCCCGUCGCUCCUACCGAUUGAGUGGUCCGGUGAGGCUUUGGGAUCUGAGUAAAGAGAGCGUUUCGCUCGUUUUGCCCGGAAAACUCAGUCGAACCUUAUCAUUUAGAGGAAGGAGAAGUCGUAACA